GACGAACGCUGGCGGCGUGCCUAACACAUGCAAGUCGAACGGAAAGGCCCUGCUUUUGUGGGGUGUUCGAGUGGCGAAGGGGUGUGCAACACGUGAGUAACCUGCCCUUGACUUUGGGAUAACUUCAGGAAACUGGGGCUAAUACCGGAUAGGAGCUCCUGCUGCAUGGUGGGGGUUGGAAAGUUUCGGCGGUGGGGGAUGGACUCGCGGCUUAUCAGCUUGUUGGUGGGGUAGUGGCUGACCAAGGCUUUGACGGGUAGCCGGCCUGAGAGGGUGACCGGCCACCCUGGCACUGAGAUACGCCCCCGACUCCUCCGUGGGCCAGCGGUCGGGAUUAUUGCACAAUGGUCCGAGUCCUGCUGCAGCACUGCCGCGUGCGGUAUGACGGCCUUCGUGUUGUGAACCGCUUUCAGCUGUGACGAGGCGUCUGUGACGUUACUGACUAAAUAAGCACCGGCUAACUACGUG
rnacentral:rRNA from 1 species